AGUCGUACGCUUCUUUUUCCACCGGAGCUUGCUCCACCGGAAAAAGAAGAGUGGCGAACGGGUGAGUAACACGUGGGUAACCUGCCCAUCAGAAGGGGAUAACACUUGGAAACAGGUGCUAAUACCGUAUAACAAUCGAAACCGCAUGGUUUUGAUUUGAAAGGCGCUUUCGGGUGUCGCUGAUGGAUGGACCCGCGGUGCAUUAGCUAGUUGGUGAGGUAACGGCUCACCAAGGCCACGAUGCAUAGCCGACCUGAGAGGGUGAUCGGCCACAUUGGGACUGAGACACGGCCCAAACUCCUACGGGAGGCAGCAGUAGGGAAUCUUCGGCAAUGGACGAAAGUCUGACCGAGCAACGCCGCGUGAGUGAAGAAGGUUUUCGGAUCGUAAAACUCUGUUGUUAGAGAAGAACAAGGAUGAGAGUAACUGUUCAUCCCUUGACGGUAUCUAACCAGAAAGCCACGGCUAACUACGUGCCAGCAGCCGCGGUAAUACGUAGGUGGCAAGCGUUGUCCGGAUUUAUUGGGCGUAAAGCGAGCGCAGGCGGUUUCUUAAGUCUGAUGUGAAAGCCCCCGGCUCAACCGGGGAGGGUCAUUGGAAACUGGGAGACUUGAGUGCAGAAGAGGAGAGUGGAAUUCCAUGUGUAGCGGUGAAAUGCGUAGAUAUAUGGAGGAACACCAGUGGCGAAGGCGGCUCUCUGGUCUGUAACUGACGCUGAGGCUCGAAAGCGUGGGGAGCAAACAGGAUUAGAUACCCUGGUAGUCCACGCCGUAAACGAUGAGUGCUAAGUGUUGGAGGGUUUCCGCCCUUCAGUGCUGCAGCUAACGCAUUAAGCACUCCGCCUGGGGAGUACGACCGCAAGGUUGAAACUCAAAGGAAUUGACGGGGGCCCGCACAAGCGGUGGAGCAUGUGGUUUAAUUCGAAGCAACGCGAAGAACCUUACCAGGUCUUGACAUCCUUUGACCACUCUAGAGAUAGAGCUUCCCCUUCGGGGGCAAAGUGACAGGUGGUGCAUGGUUGUCGUCAGCUCGUGUCGUGAGAUGUUGGGUUAAGUCCCGCAACGAGCGCAACCCUUAUUGUUAGUUGCCAUCAUUUAGUUGGGCACUCUAGCAAGACUGCCGGUGACAAACCGGAGGAAGGUGGGGAUGACGUCAAAUCAUCAUGCCCCUUAUGACCUGGGCUACACACGUGCUACAAUGGGAAGUACAACGAGUCGCGAAGUCGCGAGGCUAAGCUAAUCUCUUAAAGCUUCUCUCAGUUCGGAUUGUAGGCUGCAACUCGCCUACAUGAAGCCGGAAUCGCUAGUAAUCGCGGAUCAGCACGCCGCGGUGAAUACGUUCCCGGGCCUUGUACACACCGCCCGUCACACCACGAGAGUUUGUAACACCCGAAGUCGGUGAGGUAACCUUUGGA
rnacentral:rRNA from 1 species